ACAAAUUCGAUGAGAAAAAGAGUAGUUGCAAAGGUCAGCUAAAGCGAGCCGGGUUGGUGAAAGCCGGUGCAGGACAUGUAACGAACCGCGUUUUUGAGAUGUCGGUUAAACCCGAUCGGAUGGCCUCCGUUAACAGCGUCAAGCCGAUUCCGCAGUUGCGGAAUAAUUAGAGUGGUACCGCGGAUGUAAACGUUCGUCUCUUAU
rnacentral:ncRNA from 1 species